CUCGUAGGCGGUUCGUCGCGUCCGGUGUGAAAGUCCAUCGCUUAACGGUGGAUCCGCGCCGGGUACGGGCGGGCUUGAGUGCGGUAGGGGAGACUGGAAUUCCCGGUGUAACGGUGGAAUGUGUAGAUAUCGGGAAGAACACCAGUGGCGAAGGCGGCUCACUGGGCCAUUACUGACGCUGAGGCACGAAAGCGUGGGGAGCAAACA
rnacentral:rRNA from 1 species